AGUUGCAUCUAAAAAUUUUUCUAUUCAUUUCAUGAUUAAGGAUCAAAUUCUUACUUUAUUAGUAGUAAAAUCAGAGAUCAAAUCUUAAAUUAUUUGAUAUAAACCUUUGGAGGUCUAGAUGUGCAGACCCUCUACUUCGCAUGUAUGUCAGACAUCGCAGGAAAGCAGGAUGAACUCUAAUUCAAUUGCCUUCGCAACACAAUCAAUCGAGGGAUGAGAUGUACUAGUGUGACACCUCACAUCAGUAGGUGGAAUACCCAAGAUGGAUCCAUGCCCAAGGGAAGAGGGGCGGCAACAAGAGGAGAGGGCAAGGGAG
rnacentral:lncRNA from 1 species